rnacentral:lncRNA from 1 species
CUACAACUUGCUAUGUGUGUCCUCUUGAAGGGCUGCAUUACAAUGGUAGGCAUGAACUAAGUUUCGCACCAGGAGAAAUUUUAUUAAGAGGUGCUCUCCCUAAUUACUAAGCAACAGAAAAAAUUUGAGUAUGCAAUGGCCAUACUUGAUAAAUCUCUUCUUAGGAAAGAAUUCAGUACUUAAACACUGCCAUGCUCUUCUAUGCACUGCUUUUUCUGGACUAUUACCUCUACUCUUACUGUGAUUUAUAGACUGGGACUUCAGAAUCUUGGAGAAACAGGAGCAAAUUUCAUCUUUUAAGUUUACUGCCACACAAGGACAAUAGAAGAGAAUGACUGUUUUCUGAUGGACCUGAAAGGCAGACAAGUGCUUUUUAAAAGUCAACUGCCUUGUCAGUUGAACCAGUUUACCAACGAUAUCCAAGUCUGUUGAAGAAGAUGUGUAUGGCUUUUAUGAGGAGCCUUGAGAGUAAUCAUGGUUUUGCCAGCUUUGAAGAGAAAACAGUAAUUAUUUCCUUAAAUUAUAUCUAUUCACCCCUCCAAUAGGGGAAAAUUACCCUUUAUUUCCACUCCAGGAUAUUGUGCUUUUAAUAUAUCCCUUCUCAGGUUUUCUGAGUCCAGCAGCAGGUGCUGAACAGCAGCCCAGUGUUGGAAAAACUAUUGAAUCCCUGGCAGAUUACAGCGAGAGGAAACCUUACCAGUGUCCCCAUCGCAGGUGAGAGAGCGCAGCCUGACCAUGCGAGACCUCCUGGAGGAAAACAGCCAGGACAGAAGGUGGAAGUUCAAGAGUACAGAGGAAACAAAGAACACCUCAGAAAGUGUUUGAAAGGAGACACUGCUCCCAGUUAAAUGGUGUGAAGACCCACAAAUGACUAACAGAGGCAAGCACUCCAGAUAUUCCUGGAUACAUUGGCAAGGUUCAUUGAUCAGCAGCUCACCCGGCAAAUUCCAAUCUUCCAUCAACAGCCCCAUCAGUAAUUGCAGGAAUGCAUGGGGCCUUUAUAUUUCUGAAGAAAGAAUGUCCAGAGUAUUCUGCAUGAAGUAAAGAUAAAGCUCUCAGCUGAAAAAAACGUGUUACAGCUUUCUGUCAUGUUCAAUUCACCAGUGACAGCCAGUCAAUUCAGGAUAAAAAAGCCUACCCAAGAUCAGAAAGAAGUCCUGUCCAGUUAACCAGGUA